rnacentral:rRNA from 1 species
ACGCACGCUGGCGGCGUGCUUAACACCUGCAAGUCGCACGGAAAGGCCCUGCUUUUGUGGGGUGCUCGAGUGGCGAACGGGUGAGUAACACGUGAGUAACCUGCCCUUGACUUUGGGAUAACUUCAGGAAACUGGGGCUAAUACCGGAUAGGAGCUCCUGCUGCAUGGUGGGGGUUGGAAAGUUUCGGCGGUUGGGGAUGGACUCGCGGCUUAUCAGCUUGUUGGUGGGGUAGUGGCUUACCAAGGCUUUGACGGGUAGCCGGCCUGAGAGGGUGACCGGCCACAUUGGGACUGAGAUACGGCCCAGACUCCUACGGGAGGCAGCAGUGGGGAAUAUUGCACAAUGGGCGGAAGCCUGAUGCAGCAUCGCCGCGUGCGGGAUGACGGCCUUCGGGUUGUAAACCGCUUUCGCCUGUGACGAAGCGUGAGUGACGGUAAUGGGUAAAGAAGCACCGGCUAACUACGUG